UUCUUAUUUGCUUUGCAACUGUGGAUUUACUUUUCCUGUAAAACAACUUUGAUGUGUAAUGGAACUGGGAAGGAAAAGGAUAAACCCACUUCCUAUGCUCUCCGUUUUUUAACUAGGGGCACUGUGAGCUUGGAUUCCCAGUUGGAGUUUAGAUUUGGUGCUUCAUUUGGCCUCUGAGCUUCCAAAGGUCUUCAUUUGUAACACACUUAUGGCUGACAGCUGGGCUGAGGACCCUCCUGAGAGAGCCUCCAGUGUGGCAGCCACUGAAACUAAGGGCUGCCUCAAGGACUUGAAGCUGACUUUCCCCAGCUCUGAGCUAUCCAGGAGAGAAUGAGAGAGCUCAAACACCCACAAGAUGAAAGCCACAAUCUUUGAAACCCAGUCUUGGAAGUGGCAGCCUCUUACUUCUGCUGUAUUCUGUUUACUGGAAUCAAAUCACUAACUCAAGCCUACACUAAUUUCCUGGUAUCACACAAAAAGGAUUAUAUGAAAAUCAUUAGAUGUCAUCUCAGAAACUUUCUACAUCAACCUGAAAAAGAAC
ensembl:lncRNA